rnacentral:rRNA from 1 species
UCUACGGGAGGCAGCAGUGGGGAAUAUUGCACAAUGGGGGAAACCCUGAUGCAGCAACGCCGCGUGAGUGAUGACGGCCUUCGGGUUGUAAAGCUCUGUCUUCUGGGACGAUAAUGACGGUACCAGAGGAGGAAGCCACGGCUAACUACGUGCCAGCAGCCGCGGUAAUA